rnacentral:lncRNA from 1 species
CCUGGAUAAGCCUGGGGUGCAAAUGUGAGCAGGUAGCUGUGGACCAGAAAGAAUGAACCCCAGGAAAGUCAGUGUGGUGAGACCGCGUGUGGCAGCGGGAGCAGCAUCUGGACACCCAGGACAAGCAUCCAGCUCCGGGAAGUCACUGUCGUCUGGCUGUCACUGCCCCGGGACCCCAGGCUCACACACACGCUGCCCACCGAGUCCACAGAGCACCUUGCUUCUGCUGACAGUGCUCCCAGUCGGGUCCAUUGGCAAGCUCACCUGUCCGUCUCCUGCAAGCCGUGUCUCAG